GGUUCCGUGGCCGAGUGGCUAGGCCAAGGUCCGCAAGACCUUUUACAGUAGUUCGAAUCUGCUCGGAACCU
rnacentral:tRNA from 1 species